GGCACUCUCUUUCCCUCCACCACGCUCUACCGAAAAUAAAUUUUCGCCGACUAUCACUCCAGUGGUAUCUCUUUUUGCACAACCUGUAUGCACGCAUUGAUAUAGUCCUUAUCGGACAUAUCCUUGGUUUUGGCUGGGGGUACUUUUCCCCGUCGGCGCAACUCUUGCUUG
rnacentral:lncRNA from 1 species